GAGUUUGAUCUUGGCUCAGAGCGAACGCUGGCGGCAGGCUUAACACAUGCAAGUCGAGCGGGCGUAGCAAUACGUCAGAGGCAGACGGGUGAGUAACGCGUGGGAACGUACCUUUUGGUUCGGAACAACACAGGGAAACUUGUGCUAAUACCGGAUAAGCCCUUACGGGGAAAGAUUUAUCGCCGAAAGAUCGGCCCGCGUCUGAUUAGCUAGUUGGUGAGGUAACGGCUCACCAAGGCGACGAUCAGUAGCUGGUCUGAGAGGAUGAUCAGCCACAUUGGGACUGAGACACGGCCAAAACUCCUACGGGAGGCAGCAGUGGGGAAUAUUGGACAAUGGGCGCAAGCCUGAUCCAGCCAUGCCGCGUGAGUGAUGAAGGCCCUAGGGUUGUAAAGCUCUUUUGUGCGGGAAGAUAAUGACGGUACCGCAAGAAUAAGCCCCGGCUAACUUCGUGCCAGCCGCCGCGGU
rnacentral:rRNA from 1 species